rnacentral:rRNA from 1 species
UACAGGGGGGGCAAGCGUUGUUCGGAAUUACUGGGCGUAAAUGGGACCAGGUAGGCGGCCAAGCUAAGUCGCAACGUGGAAAUCCCCAGGCCGUUAACCCUGGGGAACUGCGUGUGAUACUGGAUGGCUUGAAUUCGGGAGAGGGAUGCAGAAUUCCAGGUGUAGCGGUGAAAUGCGUAGAGAUGUGGAGGAAUACCGAUGGCGAAGGCAGCCCCCUGGGUCAUACUGACGCUCAUGCACGAA